rnacentral:rRNA from 1 species
UAAGGAAUAUUGGACAAUGGAGGCAACUCUGAUCCAGCCAUGCCGCGUGAAGGAAGAAGGACCUAUGGUUUGUAAACUUCUUUUGUAGCAGAGAAAACCCUCCCAUGCGUGGGAGGUUGAUAGUAUGCUAAGAAUAAGCAUCGGCUAACUUCGUGCCAGCAGCCGCGGUAAUACGAAGGAUGCAAGCGUUAUCCGGAUUUAUUGGGUUUAAAGGGAGCGUAGGCGGUCUUAUAAGUCAGUGGUGAAAUCUCGAUGCUUAACAUCGAACGUGCCAUUGAUACUGUAGGACUUGAGUACAGAUGCCGUUGGCGGAAUGUGUCAUGUAGCGGUGAAAUGCAUAGAUAUGACACAGAACACCGAUUGCGAAGGCAGCUGACGAAACUGUAACUGACGCUGAGGCUCGAAAGCGUGGGGAUCAAACAGGAUUAGAUACCCCGGUAGUCC